CAUUGGAUAUUUCCAAAGAGGGAAACAGCAAGAUUCAGUACACAUCGUAACAUCGUUGUCGAGGAAACAAGAAUUGUAGAAAAGCACAGAAUAUGAUUUGCAGUUGAAAACUAAUCCAUGUGAGUUCCAAGUUUAGGCUACAAAUACGCGCGUUGUUUGUCUUCACCAGCAUAAUUAUUGGCCAAACCCAACUACAACAACUUCGCACAUUCAAAUUCGAAGCUCUUACCUAAAUUUUAAGUUUUUCUUCGCGGUGAAGAAAGGGAUUGCAUCGUUUCUAACCAACCCUUAAAUCUCUAAUUCUCUUCGUUGAGUUUGGCAUAAUUGGAGCCCUUGAAUUCCAUCACAGUUCUUGUUCCAUGUGAAUUUUCAGGAGGGUUAUAUCAACAUUUCUUUGAAUUUGGAAGAUAAUGGAUGGUGAUCUGAAAAAUCAUGAGAUUUCUCUUUCACAUGUUGAUGAUGAUGAAUGCAAGACAGAGAUGGGGUUUGGCAACUAUGGCUGCUCACAUUAUCGGAGGAGGUGCAAGAUCAUAGCACCUUGUUGCAAUGAAGUAUUUGAUUGCAGGCACUGUCACAAUGAAGCAAAGAAUUUGAUAGAUGUUGAUACACUUGAACGCCAUGAUAUCCCACGUCAU